rnacentral:lncRNA from 1 species
GCUGUGACUUACAUUACAGGGUGUCCACCGAUAGCGUUCUGAUUAGGAAUCCGCUGCAGAACGAAAGAUGGAUUAGUAAAUUGCAAAGGAUUAAUAACCAGUUUAAGGAUGAGCUGGAUUAUAAAGACUAUACUAUCCAACAACUUAAACAGGAGCUGGAGGAAAAGGACCAUAAUCUUCAAAAGUGGCGUGAGGAGAGAGAUCAGUUAGUAGAAGCUUUGGAAGAACAGCUCAAAACUUUGGCUUCUAAUGCCAUACAAAAAGAGACAGAAAUAGCAGAACUGAGACAAUCUGCCUUAAAGGAUUCAAGCAAGCCUAGGAAACAACAAAGCAAAACUAAAACUGGAGAAAGUAUUCCAUUAAGAUGCAAAGCUGAAGACAAUUAUUUGUCACGUCGAUGUACUAGGAGCCUCACUUCAUUAAAUGAAUCUGAGGUUAGUAUGAAACUUCAGAUCUGAAAAUGUUGUGAUUGUAUUGCUUUUGAUAAGGAAUGAGUAGGAAAAGAUCUCAUGUUCUCUAAACAAUUCCCAAGUUUUAAUUUAUUUAUCCCUUUCAAGGUGAUCAGAUCACCUGUUUUUAUAGCCUUUGAUAGGAAUAAAAGCUGUUGAAACAAUUGUGUGAUGAAUUUU